UACGUAGGGGGCAAGCGUUGUCCGGAAUCAUUGGGCGUAAAGAGCGCGUAGGCGGCCCUGUAAGUCCGCUGUGAAAGUCAAGGGCUCAACCCUUGGAUGCCGGUGGAUACUGCAGGGCUAGAGUGCGGAAGAGGCGAGUGGAAUUCCUGGUGUAGCGGUGAAAUGCGCAGAUAUCAGGAGGAACACCAAUUGCGAAGGCAGCUCGCUGGGACGUAACUGACGCUGAGACGCGAAAGCGUGGGGAGCAAACAGG
rnacentral:rRNA from 1 species